AGAGUUUGAUCAUGGCUCAGAGCGAACGCUGGCGGCGUGCCUAACACAUGCAAGUCGAACGUGAAAUGGGGCAACCCAAAGUAAAGUGGCGUACGGGUGAGUAACACGUAGGUAAUCUACCAAAAAGUCUGGAAUAACCGGCCGAAAGGCUGGCUAAUACUGGAUAGAGCGACGGGAUCCGUAAACGGGUCUUUCGGGAAAGGGAGGCAGUAAUGCCCUUCGCUUUUUGAUGAGCCUGCGUCUCAUUAGCUAGUUGGUGAGGUAAUGGCUCACCAAGGCAUUGAUGAGUAGCUGGUCUGAGAGGAUGAUCAGCCACACUGGAACUGAAACACGGUCCAGACUCCUACGGGAGGCAGCAGUGGGGAAUCUUGCGCAAUGGACGAAAGUCUGACGCAGCCACGCCGCGUGAGUGAAGAAGGCCUUCGGGUUGUAAAGCUCUGUCGCCCGGGACGAACAUUCUGGGGGUUAAUAGCCUCCAGAACUGACGGUACCGGGAAAGGAAGCACCGGCUAACUCUGUGCCAGCAGCCGCGGUAAUACAGAGGGUGCAAGCGUUGCUCGGAAUCAUUGGGCGUAAAGGGUAGGUAGGUGGUCUCGUUUGUCUGGGGUGAAAGCCCAGGGCUUAACCCCUGGAAGUGCCCCAGAAACGGCGAGACUAGAGUCUUGGAGAGGGUCGUGGAAUUCCCGGUGUAGCGGUGAAAUGCGUAGAGAUCGGGAGGAACACCAGAGGCGAAGGCGGCGACCUGGACAAGUACUGACACUCAACUACGAAAGCGUGGGGAGCAAACAGGAUUAGAUACCCUAGUAGUCC
rnacentral:rRNA from 1 species